AAUGAACGUUGGCGGCGUGGAUUAGGCAUGCAAGUCGAGCGAGAACCGUAGCAAUACGGGGACAGCGGCGAAAGGGAGAGUAAUGCGUGGAUACCUACCCUCGGGUUCGGGAUAGCUACGGGAAACUGUAGGUAAUACCGAAUAAUAUCUCCGGAUCAAAGGUGUGAUUCCGCCGGAGGAGUGGUCCACGUCCUAUUAGCUAGUUGGCGAGGUAACGGCUCACCAAGGCGAAGAUGGGUAUGGGGUGUGAGAGCAUGCCCCCACUCACUGGGACUGAGACACUGCCCAGACACCUACGGGUGGCUGCAGUCGAGAAUCUUCGGCAAUGGGGGAAACCCUGACCGAGCGACGCCGCGUGCGAGAUGAAGGCCUUCGGGUUGUAAAUCGCUGUCAGAGGGGAGGAAAUGCUAGUGGGUUCUCCCAUUAGUUUGACCUAUCCUCAGAGGAAGGACGGGCUAAGUUCGUGCCAGCAGCCGCCGCGG
rnacentral:rRNA from 1 species